rnacentral:rRNA from 1 species
AUUGAACGCUGGCGGCAUGCUUUACACAUGCAAGUCGAACGGUAACAGGCCGCAAGGUGCUGACGAGUGGCGAACGGGUGAGUAAUGCAUCGGAACGUGCCCAGUCGUGGGGGAUAACUACUCGAAAGAGUAGCUAAUACCGCAUACGAUCUAUGGAUGAAAGCGGGGGACCGGAAGGCCUCGCGCGAUUGGAGCGGCCGAUGUCAGAUUAGGUAGUUGGUGGGGUAAAGGCUCACCAAGCCAACGAUCUGUAGCUGGUCUGAGAGGACGACCAGCCACACUGGGACUGAGACACGGCCCAGACUCCUACGGGAGGCAGCAGUGGGGAAUUUUGGGCAAUGGGCGCAAGCCUGAUCCAGCAAUGCCGCGUGCAGGAAGAAGGCCUUCGGGUUGUAAACUGCUUUUGUACGGAACGAAACGGCUCUGGUUAAUACCCGGGGCUAAUGACGGUACCGUAAGAAUAAGCACCGGCUAACUACGUG